UACAGAGGUCUCGAGCGUUGUUCGGAUUCAUUGGGCGUAAAGGGCGCGUAGGCGGCGGGGUAAGUCUGGUGUGAAAUCUCGGAGCUCAACUCCGAAACUGCACUGGAUACUGCUCUGCUAGAGGGCUGGAGAGGAGAUCGGAAUUCACGGUGUAGCAGUGAAAUGCGUAGAUAUCUGGAGGAACACCGGUGGCGAAGGCGGCAUCCUGGGACCGGUAUUGACGCCUGAGGCGCGAAAGCCAGGGGGAG
rnacentral:rRNA from 1 species